rnacentral:misc_RNA from 1 species
GAACUCAUCUAAUAAGUCAUCAGCGUCAUAAAAUGCUUCUUUUAGCGAUUCAACCCAAACUCUGACUUCAUGACUCUGCGAAUACUUCUCCUUUGCAUCUAGAAGAACAGCUUGGAUGGUUGAAACUGUUGUCCUGAGUUUGUCAAGCUCCUCUUGGACAGCCCCCCACAGCUUAGUCUCCUGAAGGGCUGGAGAAGCUAGCUUAGAAAUGAUUCGCCCUGCAAUGUUGAAGAGAAUUGCUUCUGCCAUUGAUUCACAAGUAAGAGGAAAGCAAAGGUAAAGGGGCAAUUGGGAAGCGUUCAAGGUUUGGAGAGAAAGAUUAUGAAGCUGUGUGGAGGAUGAAAAUGCUACGGAAAUAUUUACAACAAAUUUAAUAUUUCUGCAUUAUUUCUUUAAAGGACAACCGUGUGGGGACAUAUGGUAAUAUUGGUUUGUUUAUUUCUUGUGAUUAAUUCUUGAAAUUAAUAUAUUAAUAGAUUCCUCUGAUGAUAAUAAUGAUUUCAGCAUUCUCCACUACAGAAAUUUGUGAACCUUAGUUGAAAGACAAUAU